GAAGUGUGGUUCAGUGGUAGAGAGUUCUUCCCUCACAUGCAGGAGGCACUGGGUUCAAUCCUCAGCACCA
rnacentral:tRNA from 1 species